rnacentral:rRNA from 1 species
AUUGAACGCUGGCGGCAUGCUUUACACAUGCAAGUCGAACGGCAGCACGGACUUCGGUCUGGUGGCGAGUGGCGGACGGGUGAGUAAUACAUCGGAACGUACCCAGUAAUGGGGGAUAACUAUCCGAAAGGAUAGCUAAUACCGCAUACGCCCUACGGGGGAAAGAGGGGGAUCGCAAGACCUCUUGUUAUUGGAGCGGCCGAUGGCUGAUUAGCUAGUUGGUGAGGUAAAGGCUCACCAAGGCGACGAUCAGUAGCGGGUCUUAGAGGACGAUCCGCCACACUGGAACUGAGACACGGUCGAGAGGCCUACGGGAGGCAGCAGUGGGGAAUCUUGGACAAUGGGCGCAAGCCUGAUCCAGCAAUGCCGCGUGCGUGAAGAAGGCCUUCGGGUUGUAAAGCGCUUUUGUCAGGGAGCAAAAGGUGGUGGCUAAUAUCCAUCGCUCUUGAGAGUACCUGAAGAAUAAGGACCGGCUAACUACGUGCCAGCAGCCGCAGUAA